rnacentral:rRNA from 1 species
GACGAACGCUGGCGGCGUGCUUAACGCAUGCAAGUCGAACGGUAAGGCCCUUCGGGGUACACGAGUGGCGAACGGGUGAGUAACACGUGGGUGAUCUGCCCCUUUCUCUGGGAUAACGCUCCGAAAGGAGUGCUAAUACCGGAUACUCACAUCGAGGCACAUGCCUUGAUGGGGAAAGGUUUUCGGAAAGGGAUGGAGUCGCGGCCUAUCAGCUUGUUGGUGAGGUAACGGCUAACCAAGGCGACGACGGGUAGCCGGCCUGAGAGGGCGACCGGCCACACUGGGACGAAGACACGGCCCAGACUCCUACGGGAGGCAGCAGUGGGGAAUAUUGCACAAUGGGCGCAAGCCUGAUGCAGCGACGCCGCGUGAGGGAUGAAGGUCUUCGGAUUGUAAACCUCUUUCAGUAGGGACGAAGCGAAAGUGACGGUACCUAAAGAAGAAGCACCGGCUAACUACGUGCCAGCCGCCGCAGUAA